UACGUAGGGGGCGAGCGUUGUCCGGAAUCAUUGGGCGUAAAGAGCGUGUAGGCGGCUCGGUAAGUCCGCUGUGAAAGUCCAGGGCUCAACCCUGGAAUGCCGGUGGAAACUGUCGAGCUAGAGUCCGGAAGAGGCGAGUGGAAUUCCUGGUGUAGCGGUGAAAUGCGCAGAUAUCAGGAGGAACACCCGUGGCGAAAGCGGCUCUCUGGGACGGUACUGACGCUGAGACGCGAAAGCGUGGGGAGCAAACAGG
rnacentral:rRNA from 1 species